GAGCCCGUAGCUCAGCUGGUAGAGCACGUGACUUUUAAUCAUGGGGUCUCGGGUUCGAAUCCCGACGGGCUCACCA
rnacentral:tRNA from 2 species